GACGAACGCUGGCGGCGUGCUUAACACAUGCAAGUCGAACGGAAAGGCCCUGCUUUUGUGGGGUGCUCGAGUGGCGAACGGGUGAGUAACACGUGAGUAACCUGCCCUUGACUUUGGGAUAACUUCAGGAAACUGGGGCUAAUACCGGAUAGGAGCUCCUGCUGCAUGGUGGGGGUUGGAAAGUUUCGGCGGUUGGGGCUCGACUCGCGGCUUCCCCGCUUGUUGGUGGGGUAGUGGCUUACGAAGGCUUCGGCGGGUAGCCGGCCUUGGAGGGCGGCCGGCGACCUGGGGACUGAGGGACGGAGCAGUAGGCUACGGGAGGCAGAGGGGGGGAAUAUUGCGGAGUGGGGGGAAGCCAGAGGCAGCGGCGCCGCGUGCGGGAGGACGGGUUUCGGGGUGUGAACCGCUGUCGACGGAGACGAGGCGUGAGUGACGGUAAUGGGUAAGGAAGCACCGGCUAACUACGUG
rnacentral:rRNA from 1 species